rnacentral:rRNA from 1 species
AUUGAACGCUGGCGGCGGGCUUAACACAUGCAAGUCGAGCGGGGCUUCGGUCCUAGCGGCGAACGGGUGAGGAAUGCCUGGGAAUCUGCCUGGUAGUGGGGGAGUAACGAUUCGAAAGGGUCGCUAAUACCGCAUACGUCCUACGGGAGAAAGCAGGGGACCUUCGGGCCUUGCGCUAUCAGAUGAGCCCAGGUCGGAUUAGCUAGUAGGUGAGGUAAAGGCUCACCUAGGCGACGAUCCGUAGCUGGUCUGAGAGGAUGAUCAGCCACACUGGAACUGAGACACGGUCCAGACUCCUACGGGAGGCAGCAGUGGGGGAAUAUUGGACAAUGGGCGAAAGCCUGAUCCAGCCAUGCCGCGUGUGUGAAGAAAGGCCU